GCUUUCAACAGUAGCAAUGACAUUGAACGAUACAGAGAAGAUUACCAUGGCCCCUGCGCAAGGAUGACACGCAAAAUCGUGAAGCGUUCCACAUUUUU
rnacentral:snRNA from 14 species